ACGGCUCAGUAACACGUAGUCAAUCUACCCUAUGGACGGGAAUAACCUCGGGAAACUGAGAAUAAUGCCCGAUAGAACAUUAUGCCUGGAAUGGUUUAUGUUUCAAAUGAUUUAUCACCAUAGGAUGGGACUGCGGCCUAUCAGUUUGUUGGUGAGGUAAUGGCCCACCAAGACUAUUACAGGUACGGGCUCUGAGAGGAGUAGCCCGGAGAUGGGUACUGAGACACGGACCCAGGCCCUAUGGGGCGCAGCAGGCGAGAAAACUUUGCAAUGUGCGAAAGCACGACAAGGUUAAUCCGAGUGGUUUCUGCUAAAGAAACCUUUUGUCAGUCCUAGAAACACUAACGAAUAAGGGGUGGGCAAGUUCUGGUGUCAGCCGCCGCGGUAAAACCAGCACCUCAAGUGGUCAGGAUGAUUAUUGGGCCUAAAGCAUCCGUAGCCCGUUUUGUAAGUUUUCGGUUAAAUCCAUGCGCUUAACGUAUGGGCUGCCGGGAAUACUGCAUAACUAGGAAGUGGGAGAGGUAGACGGUACUCGGUAGGAAGGGGUAAAAUCCUUUGAUCUAUUGAUGACCACCUGUGGCGAAGGCGGUCUACCAGAACACGUUCGACGGUGAGGGAUGAAAGCUGGGGGAGCAAACCGGAUUAGAUACCCGGGUAGUCCCAGCUGUAAACUAUGCAAACUCAGUGAUGCAUUGGCUUAUGGCCAAUGCAGUGCUGCAGGGAAGCCGUUAAGUUUGCCGCCUGGGAAGUACGUACGCAAGUGUGAAACUUAAAGGAAUUGGCGGGGGAGCAC
rnacentral:rRNA from 1 species